rnacentral:misc_RNA from 1 species
AUGCGAUAAGUAAUGUGAAUUGCAGAAUUCAGUGAAUCAUCGAAUCUUUGAACGCACAUUGCGCCCAGCGGCAUUCCGCUGGGCAUGCCUGUUCGAGCGUCAUUUCAACCCUCAAGCUCUGCUUGGUAUUGGGCGUCACUAGCACGGUGCGCCUUAAAAUCAGUGGCGGUGCCAUCUGGCUUCAAGCGUAGUAAUACUUUUCGCUCUGACGUCAAGGUGUUUGCUUGCCGAAACCCCCAUACUUCUAGGUUGACCUCGGAUCAGGUAGGGAUACCCGCUGAACUUAA